GCAAACUUGGUCAUUUAGAGGAAGUAAAAGUCGUAACAAGGUCUCCGUUGGUGAACCAGCGGAGGGAUCAUUACAGAGUUGAAAAACUCCUAAACCCAACGUCUAUCUAUCCUAAAAGCGUUUGCUUCGGCGGGCGGUCCCAGGGCGGGACCGCUGCCUGCGUUUCGGCGUAGGCGCCCGCCGGAGAAGACCUAAACUCGUACUAUUUCAGUGGAACUCUGAGCCUAAAAGACAAAUAAUCAAAACUUUCAACAACGGAUCUCUUGGUUCUGGCAUCGAUGAAGAACGCAGC
rnacentral:misc_RNA from 1 species